AAGGGCUUUGGCUGCUCCGAUUCAGGCCCACUGGCCCCAUAAUACUGACAAAUCCUUUGCUUUGCCCAGAUGUCCACAGGGGAGCCCGCCACAGGUGUGCGUGCAGGACCACGGGGGUCCCCGAGCAGGUGGGGGGCACCCCACACGGCUCCAUGCCCCGGGGCGCC